UGCUGUUCACUGCGUUAUGUAAGGACUGUUGUAAGAUUUUUUAUUAUCCACGUGGUAAACGUAUGGGUAGUUGCAUACUAAUCUCGUACGUCACACGAGCGUCGUAUCGCGUUGACCUGUGUCGUGACGACUUGACCUGAGAUUCUAACGAUUAGAUUGGAUAAUCGAUGAACUCUAAAUUAGGUCCCGUUGUGACGGAACUACUUGUCCAUUCAUAACAAACACGUGAAUUCAUUCAUUCUACAACUUGUAUUCAUUGUGGGAAUGGAAAUAUUGCGAUCGUUGCCGAAUCGCUGUUUAAUUGUUAAUCUAACUGCGACGUUAUAUCCGUCGAAAAACC